GACGAACGCUGGCGGCGUGCUUAACACAUGCAAGUCUACGAGAACGAGGUAGCAAUAUCUUUAGUAAAGUGGCGCACGGGUGCGUAACACGUAAGCAAUCUACCUUUGGGUCUGGAAUAACUUCGAGAAAUCGAGGCUAAUACCGGAUAAUGCAGCGGCACCGCAUGGUGAUGUUGUUAAAGUUUGAGUAAUGCCUAUAGAUGAGCUUGCGUCUGAUUAGCUAGUUGGUAGGGUAAAGGCCUACCAAGGCAACGAUCAGCAGCUGGUCUGAGAGGAUGAUCAGCCACACUGGAACUGAGACACGGUCCAGACUCCUACGGGAGGCAGCAGUGAGGAAUAUUGGGCAAUGCCCGCAAGGGUGACCCAGCAACGCCGCGUGGAGGAUGAAGGCCGUAAGGUUGUAAACUCCUGUUAGAGGAGAAGAAUAGUGCCGAUUGGAUCGGUAUUUGACUGUACCCUCAGAGAAAGCCCCGGCUAACUACGUGCCAGCAGCCGCGGUAAGAC
rnacentral:rRNA from 1 species